rnacentral:rRNA from 1 species
GACGAACGCUGGCGGCGUGCUUAACACAUGCAAGUCGAACGGAAAGGCCCUGCUUGCAGGGUACUCGAGUGGCGAACGGGUGAGUAACACGUGGGUGAUCUGCCCUGCACUUCGGGAUAAGCCUGGGAAACUGGGUCUAAUACCGGAUAGGAGCCAUUUUUAGUGUGAUGGUUGGAAAGUUUUUUCGGCGUAGGAUGAGCUCGCGGCCUAUCAGCUUGUUGGUGGGGUAAUGGCCUACCAAGGCGGCGACGGGUAGCCGGCCUGAGAGGGUGGACGGCCACAUUGGGACUGAGAGACGGCCCAGACUCCUACGGGAGGCAGCAGUGGGGAAGAUUGCACAAGGGGCGCAAGCCGGAUGCAGCGACGCCGCGGGGGGGAGGACGGCCUUCGGGUUGUAAACGCCUUUCGCUAGGGACGAAGCUUUUUGUGACGGUACCUAGAUAAGAAGCACCGGCUAACUACGUG